rnacentral:rRNA from 1 species
ACUCAAAGGAGACUGCCAGUGAUAAACUGGAGGAAGGUGGGGAUGACGUCAAGUCAUCAUGGCCCUUACGACCAGGGCUACACACGUGCUACAAUGGCGCAUACAAAGAGAAGCGACCUCGCGAGAGCAAGCGGACCUCAUAAAGUGCGUCGUAGUCCGGAUUGGAGUCUGCAACUCGACUCCAUGAAGUCGGAAUCGCUAGUAAUCGUGGAUCAGAAUGCCACGGUGAAUACGUUCCCGGGCCUUGUACACACCGCCCGUCACACCAUGGGAGUGGGUUGCAAAAGAAGUAGGUAGCUUAACCUUCGGGAGGGCGCUUACCACUUUGUGAUUCAUGACUGGGGUGAAGUCGUAACAAGGUAACCGUAGGGGAACCUGCGGUUGGAUCACCUCCUU